rnacentral:rRNA from 1 species
AACGAACGCUGGCGGCAGGCUUAACACAUGCAAGUCGAACGCCCCGCAAGGGGAGUGGCAGACGGGUGAGUAACGCGUGGGAACAUACCCUUUUCUACGGAAUAGCUCUGGGAAACUGGAAUUAAUACCGUAUACGCCCUACGGGGGAAAGAUUUAUCGGGGAAGGAUUGGCCCGCGUUGGAUUAGCUAGUUGGUGGGGUAAAGGCCUACCAAGGCGACGAUCCAUAGCUGGUCUGAGAGGAUGAUCAGCCACAGUGGGACUGAGACACGGCCCAAACUCCUACGGGAGGCAGCAGUGGGGAAUAUUGGACAAUGGGCGCAAGCCUGAUCCAGCCAUGCCGCGUGAGUGAUGAAGGCCUUAGGGUUGUAAAGCUCUUUCACCGAUGAAGAUAAUGACGGUAGUCGGAGAAGAAGCCCCGGCUAACUUCGUG